rfam:Scleropages formosus scaffold2309, whole genome shotgun sequence.
AGCAUUAGGGUGGGUGGAAUAAUAUAACAAUAUUCUCUAUGUUGUUAUAGUAUUCCACCUACCCUGAUGUC